CCUACGGGGGGCAGCAGUGAGGAAUAUUGGUCAAUGGACGAGAGUCUGAACCAGCCAAGUAGCGUGAAGGAUGACUGCCCUAUGGGUUGUAAACUUCUUUUAUAAAGGAAUAAAACGAGGCACGUGUGCCUUUUUGCAUGUACUUUAUGAAUAAGGAUCGGCUAACUCCGUGCCAGCAGCCGCGGUAAUACGGAGGAUCCGAGCGUUAUCCGGAUUUAUUGGGUUUAAAGGGAGCGUAGAUGGGUUGUUAAGUCAGUUGUGAAAGUUUGCGGCUCAACCGUAAAAUUGCAAUUGAUACUGGCAGUCGUGAGUACAGUUGAGGUAGGCGGAAUGCGUGGUGUAGCGGUGAAAUGCUUAGAUAUCACGAAGAACCCCGAUUGCGAAGGCAGCUUACUAAACUGUGACUGACAUUGAUGCUCGAAAGUGUGGGUAUCAAACAGGAUUAGAUACCCCAGUAGUC
rnacentral:rRNA from 1 species